AAAGGAUGCAGUACUAGAA
rnacentral:misc_RNA from 1 species